AUGCACGCUGGCGGCGUGCCUAAUACAUGCCAGUCGAGCGAACAGACGAGGAGCUUGCUCCUCUGACGUUAGCGGCGGACGGGUGAGUAACACGUGGAUAACCUACCUAUAAGACUGGGAUAACUUCGGGAAACCGGAGCUAAUACCGGAUAAUAUAUUGAACCGCAUGGUUCAAUAGUGAAAGACGGUUUUGCUGUCACUUAUAGAUGGAUCCGCGCCGCAUUAGCUAGUUGGUAAGGUAACGGCUUACCAAGGCGACGAUGCGUAGCCGACCUGAGAGGGUGACCGGCCACACUGGAACUGAGACACGGUCCAGACUCCUACGGGAGGCAGCAGUAGGGAAUCUUCCGCAAUGGGCGAAAGCCCGACGGAGCAACGCCGCGUGAGUGAUGAAGGUCUUCGGAUCGUAAAACUCUGUUAUUAGGGAAGAACAAAUGUGUAAGUAACUAUGCACGUCUUGACGGUACCUAAUCAGAAAGCCACGGCUAACUACGUG
rnacentral:rRNA from 1 species